CCUACGGGUGGCAGCAGUGGGGAAUAUUGGGCAAUGGGCGCGAGCCUGACCCAGCAACGCCGCGUGAAGGAAGACGGCUUUCGGGUUAUAAACUUCUUUUUUCAAGGGAGAGUAGAAGACGGUACCUGACGAAUAGGCCACGGCUAACUACGUGCCAGCAGCCGCGUUAAUACGUAGGGGGCAAGCGUUAUCCGGAUUUACUGGGUGUAAAGGGCGUGUAGACGGGUUGACAAGUCAGAUGUGAAAUCCUGCGGCUUAACCGAAGAACUGCAUUUGAAACUGUUGAUCUUGAGUACUGGAGAGGCAGAUGGAAUUCCUAGUGUAGCGGUGAAAUGCGUAGAUAUUAGGAGGAACACCAGUGGCGAAGGCGGCUUGCUGGACAGCAACUGACGGUGAGGCGCGAAAGCGUGGGGAGCAAACAGGAUUAGAUACCCUAGUAGUC
rnacentral:rRNA from 1 species